AAUGAAUACAGAUAGACUAGUCUUCUCUCCAAAGCAGCCUACAGGUUGGUCUAGAAGUGGUUUGGAACACGAGAAAAUGAGACGUAAAGUCCAAUUUUUGAGAGAGGUUGACAUUUACACCGUAAAAGCGCUGGAACGUCCACAGCUUCAGCCCAGAGGCAUCAGAGGAUGGAGUUUCUGACCACCGAGAGGUAGUUCUGAUUUCUGUGGUCGGAAGAAAGUAUUGCUACUCGGACAAAUUGGCUUGCAACAUAUUAAUUGAUGCAAUAAUUGGAAUGACAGAUUUGAGGUUGGCCCAGGUUUCACCAGUAUUUUGUCUGUAAAUGGUCUGCUUUGUAAGCGCUUCAUGUUUUUAUCAGAAAAAACCCACAUAUUGAUGGCAAAAACAUCACAGAAACAUGGUAGCAUCGCGUCUAUUAACAUGCUUAUUCCAGCAUGUCAUAUCUCAUAGAACACGGACCUGUUUCGGGCCCUAGAAUACUUCUCCAUUAAUUACAUUCGAAGCACAUGUAUCCAUAUCGGAGCGCUUGGGCUUGUCUCUUCCCAUUAGUUUAACAAGCCCUGGUAUUAAUGAGAUGGCUUCAUAAUUGAACCUUUUCACGGGUCCCCUGAUUCAGAAAUUAUGCUAAUCGGAAUUUGCAAACACGAGGCAUCCAUCAUACUUGAUGAAACAGUAAACACCAACAGCGAUCCACGUGGAGUGCAAAUGCACCCUUAUUUAUUACGGGAAUGAACACGCCUCGUUAUUUCAUCUUUAUGGAUGGGGAACAUGUCGGGGAGCGCAAGGAAGCCAAGAUGCCCGGGACUUCCACUAUGUGGCAGCAUGCUCCACUCUUAUCGCAACCGAGCUUCAGCCCGCUGCAUAGUCCGGGUGGGUGGACUCAGCAAACCUUUUCCAUCGACAACGAAGUUUGAAGGUGCCUUUCUCCUAUACAUCGAAGGAUGCAUUGCAUCCAUCAAAUGAAGACUUUCACCGCCUGUUUGAAAUGCAAAAGAGUCUCUGCACCACGCCUGUUGCAAGCUGAAUGGCUUCCCUUCAAGUCCUCCGCUGUGAAUCUCCAGCCGUACUGUAAAAACAAAGGCCAUAAUUGUGAGUUAUAUUUUCAGCUGAUCAACAAUAAACACAAGCAGGGCUGAAGAAAGCA
rnacentral:lncRNA from 1 species